rnacentral:rRNA from 1 species
GACGAACGCUGGCGGCGCGCCUAACACAUGCAAGUCGAACGAGCGAGAGAGAGCUUGCUUUCUCGAGCGAGCGGCGGACGGGUGAGUAACGCGUGGAUAACCUGCCUCACACAGGGGGAUAACAGUUAGAAAUGACUGCUAAUACCGCAUAAGCGCACGGCAUCGCAUGAUGCAGUGUGAAAAACUCCGGUGGUGUGAGAUGGAUCCGCGUCUGAUUAGGUAGUUGGUGGGGUAACGGCCCACCAAGCCGACGAUCAGUAGCCGACCUGAGAGGGUGACCGGCCACACUGGGACUGAGACACGGCCCAG